UCACUACUUAUCAUUGCGAGGUUUUUCCAUGACAGUGUACAUUUCUGUUUUGUUUUGUUAUUCCUGGUUUUUUCCAGGAGGCAGAGCGUAUACUUCGCGCCACAAAGGGCAUCACUGCAGGGAGUAUAAUACUUGUCAUUAUUGCUGGCUUGGCAGCAGCCAUUCUUUUUUGGCGUAAACGUUCAAAGCUACGGAGCACUUCCCAUCCUAUAGAAAUGACGAUCCAGAAUCCUGACUCAGAUCAGCCCUUAAUAAUGGCCUCCCCUAUCACGAUCAGCUGUCCUCCAGACUCCGUCCAACCUCUAUUCACUCCUUUUGAAGACUCUCCUAAGGGCAUAUAUACAAAUGUUCCCCUGUCUGCCUAAAAUGCGGACCAGGGCAAGUUAUAUAGAAAUUAUUUCAUGUGUGGCCAACAGCGUUAUGAUCAAAAAAGCCAUGUGUACAAUAAAAAUGCAGUAUACAUUCUUGAAACAAUGAAAACUACAUGAAAAUGAAUGACAGGAUUUAAAAAAUUAUACUUCUGAGCAUCCUUCAGUGUAAUGGGCCGUUUUAUUCUAAUAUUUUCCAGCUCAUUUUGCUCAUUUCUGCACAGGUACAGUUUUAUUUGCUUUAUCUGUGUUGCAUGGCAUGUGUAUGUGCUCUCAGUAACUUGUCAGAGAUAUGUGUUCACUUAAAGUGCAGAAAUGGCCUUUAAUCUAAUGAAUUAUGGAACGUCAUUCAUAUUCAGGUAAUAUUUUGGUAUUUUAUAUUUUAUUUUAAGUUUUUUUGUGCAGUAAAUAUUGGAUACAGGUAGCUUUUUAUCUCGUUAAACAGGCAGUAAUGAUUUUUUUUAUUUAAAAAAAAAA
ensembl:lncRNA